ACACUCGCUCCAGUGAUGUUUGAGCCCCAGCAUAGAUCAGCAUGCCAGGAAGCAGCCCACCGGACCCACCCCUGAUCAUGGCACUGGACAUUGUUUUCCGUGCUUUUCUCAGGCUGGUUUCUGCCUGUCCCAACCCUGGCCAUGGCUGACAAGGGGCCCAGGGACACUGGAGCAGAGAGACCUGCUGGUCCUUGGGGUUUCUUGCAAGGCUGAUAGCGGGGGAACCUCUCUCACAGGGCUGCUACAAAGAUUGCAUGAGAUUUUGCUCAACAAAUAUUAGCUGUUGGCUCCAGAGUUUAAUACCUCUGAUCACUACAAGCUUUGAAGGCAAGAUAAAAUAACUUCAACAUAGUGAAUCAUCUGUGAACACUUCCUGUGAACGUGUGACUAUGAUUAUGGAACACUCUGUUGCAUCAAGAUGGCCAGAGAUUGUCUCAGAGUCCAGGCAGUGGGAGGAGGGGGGAUUUGUUUCCUGGCUGGGUGGUCGUAGGGCAUCAAGGGAUGAGCAGCUUUGGUUGUCUGGGAUUUCAGCAGCUUGAGGGGAGCUGUAGGGCCCCAGAGCUGUCGCUGUGGCUGUGGUGUCAGAAAUGUAAGCAAGGUGCCUCCAUGGAGGUUAGCGAGGGUGCCCCUCUGAAUGCCGGGUGGAAUGCAACCUUUCGCAUGGAGGAGGCCCUCAGCAGCUGACCUCUGUCUUCCCUGUGUAGAGGGAGGGAGGCUGAGGCUGGGGCUGAGCGAGGGGUAAAGUAAGCCACGUGUCUCAUCAGCUAGCCUGCAGCAAGCACAGCCCUCUGGGAGGGCUGGUUCUAUCCUCCUCCUUGGUGUGAAAUCCAUCAAUCUAAUAGGGAUCCUUAUUUUCCCAGCCACCAAGUCACAAUGAGCAAUAAUCUCUUCUUGUUGGUGCAUAUAAAUUUGCUUCAUUCUUUUUUAAACA
ensembl:lncRNA NTRAS non-coding transcript regulating alternative splicing